rnacentral:rRNA from 1 species
AGACGGAGGGGGCUAGCGCUGUUCGGAAUUACUGGGCGUAAAGCGCGCGUAGGCGGUUAUUCAAGUUGAGGGUGAAAUCCCAGGGCUCAACCCUGGAACGGCCUUCAAAACUGGAGUGACUUGAGAUCGGGAGAGGAGAGUGGAAUUCCCAGUGUAGAGGUGAAAUUCGUAGAUAUUGGGAAGAACACCAGUGGCGAAGGCGGCUCUCUGGCCCGGAUCUGACGCUGAGGUGCGAAAGCGUGGGGAGCAAACAGGAUUAGAUACCCCGGUAGUCC